rnacentral:sRNA from 1 species
ACACAUCACCUUCACUUUGGGAUGUGGAAUGUGCUAAGUAGUUAGCCACAGAAAGUGAACACCCCUUCAGAAUGGGUUUGAAGAGCUGAUCCAGUGGACGAAAGAGGGGAAACUGGGAGUUCCCAAUUAACAAUGAAGCAG